CCUACGGGAGGUAGCAGUGAGGAAUAUUGGUCAAUGGCCGGAAGGCUGAACCAGCCAUGCCGCGUGAAGGUCAGUGCCCUAUGGGCGUUAAACUUCUUUUGUGCGGGAGCAAUAAUGGUCACGUGUGGCCAGACGAGAGUACCGUACGAAUAAGCAUCGGCUAACUCCGUGCCAGCAGCCGCGGUAAUACGGGGGAUGCAAGCGUUAUCCGGAUUUAUUGGGUUUAAAGGGUGCGUAGGCUGUGAGGUAAGUCAGCGGUGAAAUGCCCCCGCUCAACGGGGUGAAGUGCCAUUGAUACUGCCUGGCUGGAAUGCGGAUGCGGUGGGAGGAAUGUGUGGUGUAGCGGUGAAAUGCAUAGAUAUCACACAGAACACCGAUUGCGAAGGCAUCUCACGAAUCCGCGAUUGACGCUGAUGCACGAAAGCGUGGGUAUCAAACAGGAUUAGAUACCCUUGUAGUC
rnacentral:rRNA from 1 species